rnacentral:rRNA from 1 species
UACGUAGGUGGCGAGCGUUGUCCGGAUUUACUGGGCGUAAAGAGCGCGCAGGCGGUCGUGCAAGUCGCGUGUGAAAGCCCCCGGCUCAACUGGGGAGGGUCACGCGAUACUGCUCGACUUGAAGGCAGGAGAGGGAAGUGGAAUUCCCGGUGUAGUGGUGAAAUGCGUAGAUAGUCGGGAGGAACACCAGUGGCGAAGGCGACUUCCUGGCCUGUUCUUGACGCUGAGGCGCGAAAGCUAGGGUAGCAAACGGGG